rnacentral:rRNA from 1 species
UACAGAGGUCUCAAGCGUUGUUCGGAAUCACUGGGCGUAAAGGGUGCGUAGGCGGCGUGGAAAGUCAGAUGUGAAAUCCGGAGGCUCAACCUCCGAAUUGCAUCCGAUACUACCGUGCUCGAGAGCUGUAGAGGGAUCUGGAAUUCUCGGUGUAGCAGUGAAAUGCGUAGAUAUCGAGAAGAACGCUCGUGGCGAAAGCGGCAUCCUGGACCAAUUCUGACGCUGAGGAGCGAAAGCCAGGGGAGCAAACGGG